AGAGCGAACGCUGGCGGCAGGCCUAAUACAUGCAAGUCGAACGGAUCCUUCGGGGAUUAGUGGCGGACGGGUGAGUAACACGUGGGAACGUACCCUUUGGUUCGGAACAACUCAGGGAAACUUGAGCUAAUACCGAAUGUGCCCUUCGGGGAAAAGAUUUAUCGCCAUUGGAGCGGCCCGCGUCUGAUUAGCUAGUUGGUAGGGUAAAGGCCUACCAAGGCUACGAUCAGUAGCUGGUCUGAGAGGAUGAUCAGCCACACUGGGACUGAGACACGGCCCAGACUCCUACGGGAGGCAGCAGUAGGGAAUCUUGCGCAAUGGGCGAAAGCCUGACGCAGCCAUGCCGCGUGAAUGAUGAAGGUCUUAGGAUUGUAAAAUUCUUUCAGCGGGGACGAUAAUGACGGUACCCGCAGAAGAAGCCCGGCUAACUUCGCGCCAGCAGCCGC
rnacentral:rRNA from 1 species